CAGCAGCCACGGUAAUACGUAGGUGGCUAGCGUUGUUCGGAAUUACUGGGCGUAAAGCGCACGUAGGCGGCUUGGUAAGUUAGAGGUGAAAGCCUGGAGCUCAACUCCAGAAUUGCCUUUAAGACUGCCGAGCUAGCAGGUGAGAGAGGUAAGUGGAAUUCCGAGUGUAGAGGUGAAAUUCGUAGAUAUUCGGAAGAACACCAGUGGCGAAGGCGGCUUACUGGCUCAUACUGGACGCUGAGGUGCGAAAGCGUGGGGAGCAAACAGGAUUAGAUACCCGGGUAGUCCCUGUCUCUUAUAC
rnacentral:rRNA from 1 species